rnacentral:lncRNA from 7 species
AUGAAAUGGUGGGGGUUUGCAUCAUGCCUCAGACCUCUUACAUGAGCGCUUUUGUUUGGAAGUGGUUUUCUUUCUGCUUUUCUGUCUUGGCUGGGCCAGGGAAUGGCUGCAAAACAUAAAAGUCAGAGGUCAUUUCUGUUCCUAGUUUCUGCUGAGGUAUCAUAGAACCAGAGAAUUGUUAAGGUUGGAAAAAACCACUAAGGUUAUCUACUACAAUAUGCAAGACAUUGCUUUUUACUAUAAUGUUUCCAUCCAGUGCCCUUUUGUGUUGCCUUGUACAAGCAGACAGGAUGGCAAACUCUUCCUACCCGAACAGCUGAUGUGCAGUGCAGAAGAGUACUUUUCUCAUUUUUCUCACAUCACUGGUUGGGGAUGCGGUCAUGGCAGGAUCUGCCCAUGGCAGCUCAGCACCUGAACUGCAAGGCCAUUCUCCUCUCAAAGAUGGAAGGGAAAUCCAUAAAUGCCAAUAAAACAUGAGACCAUUGGACCUCUGCUUUUUUCUUUUUUUUUUUUUUUUUUAAAUUUAUCUAGUAUAUCUUGGAAAGCAAUCUGAUCAGCAGAAAGCACUUGGAACAUGUCGGGACGUCAGGUGACUUUGUGGAAAGCCAAGCACUCCCUCUUGCAGGACUGACAUAAAUCUUGACAAAAAAUGAUCAACGAAUGGCAACAAUAGCAAUGAAGCCAACACGGCUACCACGGGCUCUUCACCUUGUUCCUAUCUACAGGAUUUAAUCCAUUGACACACAUUGGAAGAAAAAGAAAUUUCCGCAUCAACUCGGUUGGUGUUUUGAAAAUCUGAAUGCCAAUAAAUAGAAAAUU